rnacentral:lncRNA from 1 species
GUGGAACAUUCCAUGCGAAGAGAGUCCUGAUUGGCAUCCAGCAGGGGGCGGGCGCCCAGGUCACCAGGGCGGGCGCCCUGGGCGUGGCCCCUUUCGGCCUCCGUCUUCUUCCCGUGGCUUCUCGAGUCUUCUAGAUGGUAGAAAAUUGCACGGUGCGUUGAUAUCUCUAUGUAAUCCCGACAUGUGGGCCUUUCUUCCUUAUUUCCUGAUAACCCCCUGCAGAAAUAGAUAAACAACAAAACUCGUGGAAUUCUGUCAGAUCAAACCCUAAUUCUAGGUGUUGGUUGUAUAUUGGUCCUUUCCCUUGUUUAUUUGAUAAUUAAAAUUGAUACUUAAGAACCGUCAACAAAUACCCCCAUACUUAGGCUUUUACUCGUCCUCGAGAAAAGGAUGGUUAAGAACAAUAUCUGGGGUAAAACAUUUUAAAGCAUUCUUUAUAUUUGCAGGGUGUUAAAAAUUCCACUGUGUACCAUAGUCAGGGAUGUUUAUGGUUAAGAGUAAAGAUCCUUUCUUCUCAAUCCUGUCACUUGGAGUUUUUGUAUAUUUUUGAAAGAAAGUUAGCAUACCUUUUUAUCCUCAUAGGUUCUCUCAGAUUACUCAUUAUCUUUUAUAUAUCUCACUGAGGUUGUUUUAUUUUGCAAAAUUUCUCAAGCAUACUUACUUUGCAUUUAUUGCCUGAUCAAAACGGGAUCCGAGGAGGGGAAUGUCAUACUCUUAGAUCAAAGACUUUGGAAAUUAAAAUCUUUGUCAACUCUUGCUGGCAUAUUGCUUAUUAGAGGGACCAUGGGCUAUCAUUUUCUCUUUUUCUUUUUUUAAGUGGAUACCGAGGUACCCCUAAUUCUACUGCCGGACACUUGUCCAUUUUUUUUCUGCGAGGUUGUCGAACACUUGCUCCUUUUUAUUUCCUCGAAAUAUCUCUAUUUUUGCAUAGCCCAUGCCUCUAAUGCAAUAAUACUUCGGAAGAGCGAAUCUUUCUGAAUAAAUGUCUUGAUCUUAUGUGGCA